rnacentral:rRNA from 1 species
AACGAACGCUGGCGGCAUGCCUAACACAUGCAAGUCGAACGAUUGCCUUCGGGUGAUAGUGGCGCACGGGUGCGUAACGCGUGGGAAUCUGCCCUUAGGUUCGGAAUAACAGCUGGAAACGGCUGCUAAUACCGGAUGAUAUCGCGAGAUCAAAGAUUUAUCGCCUGAGGAUGAGCCCGCGUUGGAUUAGGUAGUUGGUGGGGUAAAGGCCUACCAAGCCGACGAUCCAUAGCUGGUCUGAGAGGAUGAUCAGCCACACUGGGACUGAGACACGGUCCAGACUCCUACGGGAGGCAGCAGUGGGGAAUAUUGGACAAUGGGCGCAAGCCUGAUCCAGCAAUGCCGCGUGAGUGAUGAAGGCCCUAGGGUUGUAAAGCUCUUUUAACCGGGAAGAUAAUGACUGUACCGGGAGAAUAAGCCCCGGCUAACUCCGUG